ensembl:lncRNA
UCUUUUUGGAGCUUGCUCCCUUUGGAGUUUUUCUGUGAGCCUCUGAUAUGGAAGGUUCUCUGUCCUGAGAUAGAGCUGGGCCUGGAUUGUUCCUGCCUUUAAGUGAUGUCCAUAUGAUAACCUUGGGAAGAUUUCUGAGAGGAUACUGGUUCUGAGGUGCAGAACCUGCCCUACUGUCUGCCUAGUGUGGCUUUACAGGCAUCUGAAUGUUGAGGACAGAACUACAGCUUAAACAGUCUUAUUUCAGGCAUUUUUGCUGUAUUGGAUGAAAUUUAACUUACAAAAAAUGUCUGUGCAUCUCUAUGCUUGAUUUCUCUGCUUCACCUGUGAUGCUGGCUGUACUUGAACCUCCUUCCAUUUCUGUGUCACGACCCAGUGAGAUGUGUACUUGCAUUCAAAUCAGAUUGCAAAGAGAAGAAGAGAAACACAUGAAUAAAAGUUCAAAAGUGCUACAGGAAAAUAUCCAGGUCAGAUAACUAAUACAAUAUAUCAAACUUCAGUGGUAACUUACUUUGUCGUGCAUUCCUUUUUCACUUGCCUUUGCUUAUUUAAGUUGUUAACUCUCUAGAAAACAGGUUAGUCUGGUUUGUUUUUCAGUAAAACCUUUGGCAUCCUAUGUGUAUAACAAAGUAAAAAAAAAAAAAGUAAUUAUGCCAUAGUAUACAUGAGACUUUAGCCUGUGACACUUGCAUCUUGGCUGUGAAGAAUUCCAUCCGUAAUGUGGUGUUGAACCACAAGCAUGCCUUAUGCUUUUAAAGCUCAGAACAGAAUAUAGCAAUCUGGGACCCCUGCAGACCACAGCUACAAUUUUAGUCGUGUAAUUCUAUAGUUUAGAUAUUCGCAGAGGUGAAUGUGCAGGCUUUAAUCUGAAAGUCUGUGUAUAUCUUAUUUAGUAUUUUUGAUUUCUAUUAAGUUCUAGGUGUUUUGUGAUAAAAUCUAAAGAAUUGUCCAGAACUGAAGACGUUAAAAUCCCCUAUUGACUUCUGCCUAUUUGAUUGCUUUAUGGAUGAGGUUCUGAACAGACAACAUGCAAUAUGAGAUCCAGCCAAAAAGAAGUGGUUGAGCAGUGGGUGUAUGCUACUUCCACACUUUUAUUUUUUGGUCAUUUGUUUUAUUUUUUUUCCCCCCUUCUCUCAUACAGUCUUUCUUUCGUCCCUCUUCUGGUCUGUUGUGUUUGCACUUGUUGUGCUGAGGGCCUAUAAACAUCAGAGAAAUGUUGGAAGGAGAAUAAGGGGUGUAUGAGAGUCAGAGGGGUGCUGGGCACAGGGGAGUCGGUGUGAGGUGAGCAGGUAAGAGUAGGAGGCACAGAAGGGAUGGUUAAUCACACCAGAGGGCUUUUGUUUGGGAUUUUUCCAGACUUUCUGCAGCACUUGAAAUUCAUUCCCUGCCUUAAUCCAAAGUAACUUUCAAGUAUAGACAGGCCUAACAGUAUAACAGUAACAUUUACUUAACUUUGGCAGAAGUUCUAGGUGCUCAAGGAAUGCAGGAUUGUUUUGUGAGGAAUGCAAAAUUUUAACCUCAUUAGUUGACAUUAAUGAGUUAUUUCCUAAGCAGCUUUAGAUGGCUUAAUUUUGUUAAUUGAACCUUCAUAUGAAAAAUUCUAUAGGGUCAUAAAAUUACCCAUAAGGAAGGAUUGGUUCUUACUAAUGUCUGGGAAUCACUUCUGUGAUCUUGAAAUAAUUUGAAAGGAAAAUAUUUUCAUACUAAGUUGCUUGUUUAUUGAAAUACCUGCUUAGAGUCUCCAAAUCAAUUGGAGAAUGGUUAUUUCACAGAGCUGUUAAGCUGUUAUACCCUCUUUCUUUUGGUGGCUGAAGUGCUCUAAAUAGGCAAGGGAUCACCAGAUGCUUACAUCCUGAAAUAUCUGCUUCAAGUACACUCCUGCUUGUGGCAGUGGAUUUGUAAUAAGGAUAUGUUCAUUAGUAGGAGGCACAUUCAAUACUGUACCAAUGAUGUAGUCCCUAGCUCAGAGUUUAAUCUCAAAGCCUCAAUCCAGAAUCAUUACAGAAGUCAGAGAUGAUUCUGAGUCCCUUGAAUUGUGGGAAUUACCCAGACAGUAAAGGUUCUUAGUAUGGCAAGGCUUUAACAACAAGCUAACUCCAGUUCUGUUGUUAAACUCCAUGGAUUAAACUCCAAUGCAUUAAAAAAUGUUAGUUUAUGUGAAAUUUGAUUUCUUAAGAAGUUGAACAGUGUGGCUUCAGUUAAAUAAACAAGCAUUGAUUGAUAAGUGUAUGCUCUUCAGCAGUGCCUGCUUAAAACGGUGUGCUGAAAGUUAUUUGCUGAAUCAGUGUUAAAUGUGAUAAACAUCUUGCACAGCUGAGCUCCUUGCUUGGUAAUCAGCGUGUUGUGCACUCGAAAACCUGGCUGGUGGCAAGGCUUCUGUUAACAAAGUAAUGUGGAUGUCUCUAUGUUGUAGCAGUGAGAUCUUUAGGCUUGAGUGACGAAGUCCAGCAUGUACCUAUGCAGUUUAGGAUUAUGAAGAUCCAAACAAAGUAAUAUGGAAUCACAUCCACAUUAAGGCCUGUCCCUAGAGAGGAUUAGUUACUUCAAACAGGAUGUCAUUUUAGGGUACUUCUGGUUUGUGUGAUGUGAACUCAUGUGACUCUUCAGAGUGGGUUAGAAUUUUAUGACAAUGUGAGGUUGUAAUUGAUGGUGGCCUUUAAUUUUUUUGAGUAGCACAUGUAGUUGCUAUUCAUACAAGUAUAUUCCUAAUGAAUUUUGAGUCUGCAUAGAUAAAAGCAUUUAGUAGUAAUGACUCAGAAUUGAUGCUGUCUCAAAAAUAAAAGACAUUGAAACU